rnacentral:rRNA from 1 species
UACGUAGGGUGCAAGCGUUGUCCGGAAUUAUUGGGCGUAAAGAGCUUGUAGGCGGUUUGUCGCGUCUGCUGUGAAAUUUCGGGGCUCAACCCCCGAACUUGCAGUGGGUACGGGCAGACUAGAGUGUGGUAGGGGGAGACUGGAAUUCCUGGUGUAGCGGUGAAAUGCGCAGAUAUCAGGAGGAACACCGAUGGCGAAGGCAGGUCUCUGGGCCAUAACUGACGCUGAGAAGCGAAAAGCAUGGGGGAGCGAACAGG